UACGAAGGUGGCAAGCGUUACUCGGAAUUACUAGGCGUAAAGGGCAGGUAGGCGGUUCGGUUAGUCUGUUGUGAAAGCUCCUUGCUUAACGGGGAGAGGCCAACAGAUACUGCCGAGCUUGAGUAUAGGAGAGGGUACUGGAAUUCCCGGUGUAGCGGUGAAAUGCGCAGAUAUCAGGAGGAACACCGGUGGCGAAGGCGGGUCUCUGGGCCGAUACUGACGCUGAGGAGCGAAAGCGUGGGGAGCGAACAGG
rnacentral:rRNA from 1 species